rnacentral:rRNA from 1 species
AUGGUAAGAUAAAUCUCGUCGCUGAGAGA